rnacentral:rRNA from 1 species
UUAUUGGGCGUAAGCGAGCGCAGGCGGUCUUUUAAGUCUAAUGUGAAAGCCUUCGGCUCAACCGAAGAAGUGCAUUGGAAACUGGGAGACUUGAGUGCAGAAGAGGACAGUGGAACUCCAUGUGUAGCGGUGAAAUGCGUAGAUAUAUGGAAGAACACCAGUGGCGAAGGCGGCUGUCUGGUCUGCAACUGACGCUGAGGCUCGAAAGCAUGGGUAGCGAACAGGAUUAGAUACCCUGGUAGUCCAUGCCGUAAACGAUGAUUACUAAGUGUUGGAGGGUUUCCGCCCUUCAGUGCUGCAGCUAACGCAUUAAGUAAUCCGCCUGGGGAGUACGACCGCAAGGUUGAAACUCAAAAGAAUUGACGGGGGCCCGCACAAGCGGUGGAGCAUGUGGUUUAAUUCGAAGCUACGCGAAGAACCUUACCAGGUCUUGACAUCUUCUGACAGUCUAAGAGAUUAGAGGUUCCCUUCGGGGACAGAAUGACAGGUGGUGCAUGGUUGUCGUCAGCUCGUGUCGUGAGAUGUUGGGUUAAGUCCCGCAACGAGCGCAACCCUUAUUACUAGUUGCCAGCAUUAAGUUGGGCACUCUAGUGAGACUGCCGGUGACAAACCGGAGGAAGGUGGGGACGACGUCAAAUCAUCAUGCCCCUUAUGACCUGGGCUACACACGUGCUACAAUGGAUGGUACAACGAGUCGCGAGACCGCGAGGUUAAGCUAAUCUCUUAAAACCAUUCUCAGUUCGGACUGUAGGCUGCAACUCGCCUACACGAAGUCGGAAUCGCUAGUAAUCGCGGAUCAG